GUGCCAGCAGCCGCGGUAAUACGGAGGGUCCGAGCGUUAUCCGGAAUCAUUGGGUUUAAAGGGUGCGCAGGCGGUUUUGUAAGUCAGUGGUGAAAUCCCGUAGCUCAACUACGGAACUGCCAUUGAUACUGCAGAACUUGAAUACAGUUGAAGUAGGCGGAAUGUGUAGUGUAGCGGUGAAAUGCUUAGAUAUUACACAGAACACCGAUAGCGAAGGCAGCUUACUAAACUGAGAUUGACGCUCAUGCACGAAAGCGUGGGGAGCGAACAGGAUUAGAAACCCCUGUAGUCC
rnacentral:rRNA from 1 species